rnacentral:rRNA from 1 species
UGGGGGAUAUUGCACAAUGGGCGAAAGCCUGAUGCAGCGACGCCGCGUGGGGGAUGAAGGCUUUCGGGUUGUAAACCUCUUUCGCUAUCGAACAAGGCCCGCUUAGGGUGGGUUGAGGGUAGGUGGAGAAGAAGCGCCGGCUCACUACGUGCCAGCAGCCGCGGUAAUACGUAGUGCGCGAGCGUUGUCCGGAAUUAUUGGUCGUAAAGGGCUUGUAUGCGGCUUGUUCCGCCUCCUGUGAAAACGCGGGGCUUAACUUCGAGCGUGCAGUGGGUACGGGCAGGCUUGAGUGUGGUAGGGAUGACUGGAAUUCCAGGUGUAGCGGUGGAAUGCGCAGAUAUCUGGAGGAACACCGAUGGCGAAGGCAGGUCACUGGGCCAUUACUGACGCUGAGGAGCGAAAGCAUGGGUAGCGAACAGG